GUCAGCAUUCUGUCACCAUCAAACAAAGUACUCCUGUCAGACACCUCAAGCAUUACAAAUAUUAACAAAAAGGUAGGCAGAGGCGUAUAUGAAGUUUGAUGAGGUGUAUGCAGUGGCGGAGCCAGCCCGUGAGUGGAGCCUGAGCAAGACUACCUGUGACGCACUGUGAGCUGCCAUUUGCCCGUGGAAAUAUUGCUUCUGACCCAUACAUAAUCCCAUUGCUUAGGCGUGAUUUUCUGGACUAACCCGGGCAGCUGCACGGGGUCGCUGGGAGGUGGCUCCGCCACUGGAAAUAUGUAAUUAAGCAUCAAGCAAUUCGAAAGGUGGCAGUGGAACUAAGGAAACAAAAAUCUCUCAGUUCUCACGUUAAUCAAAGAACAACCUUACAUUGUUCAUGGCAGCUCGCCACUGUGAUGUGUAGUCAAUAACAUGAUCUCCUCUUGGCAAGCAACAAACAGUGUGGCUGCUCGCCUGAACUGGCAGACAUCUAGGACGGAAGGGAGGAUCAGAUCUGGUCUUUGGUCUACUCGUAGAGUGAAAGUGGAGAGGGGGUCAAAGGCGGCACUGGAACUAAUACUGCAUAAAACAACUUUUCUCAGAGCCCACAUUGAUCAAAGAAAAAACACAUUGUUCAUGCCAGCUCACCACUGUGCAGUGUAGUCGGUAACAUAUUAACAUGUUGACCAGUUGGCUAGUGUGGCUGCUCGCUUAAACUGACUGAUAUCUAGGAGGGAAAGGGGAGCUCAGAUCUUGUCUUCAGCUUGCUAGGAGAGAGGGUUCGGAACUGGGAAGGAACCAUAGCCGCUGAUGCCAGUUGUUGACCGUCUCCAGCCGACAUCUGUUGCCACCGUCCAGAGCAUGUUGUCGCCUCCCUGUCUUCCGUCGUCGUCUCACAGGCACUCUUUUUUCAUUCCCUUUCUUCUUUGUUCCUCCCCCUCCCCACUCUACUUUGCAGCUUGUUGCCCAUAUCCAUCCUCUGCCCCGCUGCUUGCCUCUCAGCUGUCAGCUCUGCGGCUAGUGGUGCUGGAUUCUGCUUGCUCUCCUCUACUCACAUAGAAUUGUACAAGUAUAAGAGUUAGAAAUAGGAGGACAAGGAUUGAGUUGGCAAGCAGUGGACCUGACAGCCUGGUGGUAUUAGAACACUGGGAGAAAGGACUGGAUGAUUUAAUGUGUUUUUGCUUGAGAGAUGUUGUGGGAUGUGUGUCGUAUGAGUGUCGUUUAUUCUGAUUUUUCUCUCUGUUGUAUGAGUGUCGUUUGUUAUGAUUUGACUAAUAUCUGUGAUAAUCUAAUGACCACCUAGGCCGCCACCUAGGUGCCAAGACGAGAUGGCGCCUUGAGUCACGCAACUGGAAGAUGGGUUGUAACUUUGACCCCAAACAAUGUUGAGGCACGUUAGGCAUCAGUGACAUCCCGGCUUAAUUGGAAUGAUAUACUACUCGUAUCAACAAGGUGCACCUUCUUUUCCAGGAGCCCAUCCAAAAGGAACCUCAAAGUUAAGUGUGCUUGGCUUGGAGCAAUUUGAGGAUGGGUAACCGACUAGGAAGUUGACCCCGGGUGCGCACGAGUGAGGACAAAGUGCGCAGGAAAGACCAGUCUAGAUCCUAGGUGGUAGCCAGGUGCAACGGCCAGGAACUGGUGGAUUUUGGCCGGGGCGUUACAAUUGGUAUCAGAGGCAACCCUUGCGGUUAGUGUGUGUGGGUCAGGUGUGCGGGCAUGUGGCGCAUGGCGCGUGUGGCCUGUCAUGGCACAAGGCAUGGCACAUGUGCCGGGCUGGACGCACAGACGUGUGCCAGGAGGGAAAGUUCCUGCUGGGCCGACGUCAAAUGAUAAACUAUUCAUAUCAACAAGGUGCACCUUCUUUUCCAGCUCCCAGAACUACAAAGUUAAGCAUGCUUGGCUUGGAGCAAUUUGAGGAUGAGAGACUAGGAAGUUGAUCCCGGGUGCGCACGAGUGAGGAUAAUGUGCACAAAAAAGAAGUGUCGGUCUGUGGGGCCAGUCUAGAUCCUAGGUGGUAGCCAGGCGCAACAGCGAGGAACCUGUGGGUUUGACCGGGGCGUUACAGCAUCAGUCGGCUGAUCCUGAGAACAGAUCGGACGGCUUGCUGGCCAGCCGAUUGUAAACUUUAUAUAUGUCUCUGCCUACCUGUGAUCAAUCUAAGUUCUCUACUAGGAAUUAUGACAGCAUGCUGUUGAAAAUAUGUGAGCUGUGGAUAGAGAAAGUAAAUCUGUGUAUCACAAGGACAAAUGUGAUGGUUUUAUAAUCAAGGCUUUGCUUCUUUA